rnacentral:rRNA from 1 species
UUUGGUGAUGAUGGCAGAGAGGUCACACCCGUUCCCAUACCGAACACGGAAGUUAAGCUCUCUAGCGCCGAUGGUAGUUGGGACCUUG